UACGGGGGGGGCAAGCGUUGUUCGGAAUUACUGGGCGUAAAGGGUCCGUAGGUGGCCAACUAAGUCAGACGUGAAAUCCCUCAGCUUAACUGGGGAACUGCGUCUGAGACUGGAUGGCUUGAGUGCAGGAGAGGAAUGCGGAAUUCCAGGUGUAGCGGUGAAAUGCGUAGAUAUCUGCAGGAACACCGGUGGCGAAGGCGGCAUCCUGGACCAACACUGACGCUGAGGAGCGAAAGCCAGGGGAGCAAACGGG
rnacentral:rRNA from 1 species